rnacentral:lncRNA from 1 species
AGCCCGCUGGCCCCUGGCUCGCUGGCUCUGCUGGGCACCAGCGCCUCCUACCUCAACCUCCUGAGCCUGGAGAAAAGCAGCAAGGGCCCGAUGGCCACGGACGGGGACGAACGCCUGGUGGUGCUGGAAGGGCAGGAUGGUCUGUACCGGCGGGUGGAGGGCUCCGAGGUCAGCGACCAGGCUCUGCUCAACGGUGGCGGCAGGCAGAAGGCAGGCGACUCGAGCAGCAGAGCAGAGGACGAGAGGUCUCAGCAGCCCAUCCCCAAACUCAAUCCCCCGCCGCCCAUCCUGCGGAAGAGGUCGAGCAAGACGUCCCCGAGCCUGGAGGUGGAAUCCAAGCCUGAGAAUGCUGCUCCUGUAUCGCUGCCCAGCCCCAACGCGUCCAGUCUCACUAGCGUCACCACCUGCUCGCUCGCCAGCUCCGAGUUCGAGUCGGACACCAGGACUCCUGCCCCUGGCACGGAGUUCUUCCCCAACCAGGGGGCCCGGCCGGCAUGGGGCAAGGACAGGACUGGCGAGAACGGCCAUGUGUCCCCCAUGUCUGGCACCUCCCGUUCUUCGGAAGGGGCUCUUGCCCCUGGAGAGAUGGCUAGCAAGAACCCAGCGAGACACCCAGCAGGCACGGCCUGCACCAUGGACAGCACCUUGCCAUUCUCCUCUGCGGGCACCGAAACCUGCUUGCACAUCAGCUUCUCAGAGGAUGAGCUGCUGGAGAACGAGGUGGAUGAGGCCAGGGGGCUCAGCAGGGUCCCUGCUUAGCCCCCAGUUAACUGGAAAGCUGUGCAGGUGCCAUCAUUACCCAAUGUUAGAAUUUAGGUUGGCACAGACCUCGGGGUAACUAGAAUUCUUAGUGCUUAGCCCAGGAAGCAGGUUGCCUCCCCUGGCUUCUCUGCAACACGUAGCAGCCAGGCUGGUUUUGUAACGCCCUCCCCAACAGGCUGCUGGGGGUUACAGGACGAGGCCAGGUUAGUCCAAGCCCCCUGAAGCCCCCCAAGAGAUCACAGGCUGUGGGCUGCAGACCCCACUGCAGCAGACAUUGGCUUGGAGAGCAAAUGGUAGAGUGCUGCUACAACCGUCCUCCCAACCCCCAGG